rnacentral:rRNA from 1 species
GUCUACGGCCAUGCCAUCCUGAAUGCGCCAGAUCUCGUCUGAUCUUGGAAGCUAAGCAGGGUUGGGCCUGGUUAGGACUUGGAUGGGAAACCACCUAGGAAGACCAGCUGCUGAAGGCG